CAACAACCCUGUGAUGGGAGACAGUGUAGCUUAGUGGAUGGAACCAGUGCUAUGCUGACCCAGAGAGCCUGGAUGCCAUGAUUCUGAGUUUGACUACAGUGACUGGUCAGGGAGGUGGUGGAAAGAGAGAAUGGAGAGUGAUUCAUGAGUGAGUCACAAGCAAGCUAUCCCUCCUCCCCUUUUGACCCUUUGCUGGAAGGAAAUAAAGAAAGAAAGACUUGGAAGGCCACUUCAGAGAGGUUGCCAACCCUUUUUCAAAUUGUGCCUGGUGAUGGGCGUGUGGGAACUCCAAAGCAGUCUACAACGAGUACAGAAAAGAAUACAUGCUACAGGAUGGAGCCAGCGCACAACUCCAGGGUGUAGAAGUUUGCUUGGGCCCCAACAGCCAGUUCGGCCACCAACUUUUGGAAGUAAAAGACGGCUGGGCUUGCAAUCCAGAAGUACCAGUGCUACAAAGUCUAAUCUGCCAGUGCCAGGGAAAGCAGGCUCUGAACUGCCAGUAUACCAGUCAGAGAACUAAAAACCAAAAGAGAAUGAGACAAAUCAACAGGACAGGACACCCUGCAUGUGGGGAGCUGCACAGCACUCCACCAAGCCUGAGGGAAAGCGCACAUCAUCCAUCUGGGGGUAUUUCUGACCAACCAAAAGUCAGUUGAGGCAGAGACCUAGGCUAGUGAACCAUGAAUUUCCCAGUGUGAAAAGAUGCUGAGAUCCAACACCUAAGGAAACCACAAUGAGAGAGGAGGGAGUCAGGAAGUGAGUGAUAAGGAAAAUAAGAUGGGGAACACAAGGGAGAAAUAAGACUGAAAGUACCAAGGAGUUCAAGGAAAAGAAAUCUCAAAGAUCUCAAAUAUAAACAAAUAAAGAGGAAAAACAG